GAUCCCACCUCGGGGUGCUCUGAGAGCUGAGAUGCGCACGCGAACCCGUUGAACCUGAACCGGUUAGAACCGGCGGAGGAAAGGUCGACACUCCCAAG
rnacentral:ncRNA from 2 species